GUGCUUGCUUCAGCAGCACAUAUACUAAAAUUGGAACAUUUCAGAGAAAAUUAGCAUGGCCCCUGCGUAAGGACAACAUGCAAAUUCAUGAAGCAUUCCAUAUUUUU